UACGAACCGUCCAAACGUUACUCGGAAUCACUGGGCUUAAAGGGUGCGUAGGCUGCGCGGAGGGUGGGAUGUGAAAUCCCCCGGCUCAACCGGGGAAUAGCGUCCCAAACCGCCGUGCUCGAGGGAGACAGAGGUGAGCGGAACUGAUGGUGGAGCGGUGAAAUGCGUUGAUAUCAUCAGGAACACCAGUGGCGAAGGCGGCUCACUGGGCUUUCCUAACGCUGAGGCACGAAAGCUAGGGGAGCGAACGGGAU
rnacentral:rRNA from 1 species